GGGUGUGAGGGCAGUCUGGCUGCAACAUCUGGCAGCCAUGUGAUAGCUGGGUAGAUUCAGCUGUUCUGGCUGACUAGGCAAUUAUUGUUUUCAACCUUCACCAUGUCCAUUCCUUCUGAAGUUGUGUACUCAGUGGAAGGAGACAACUAUCCCAGACUGAAGGAAUCUACCGUUCUUCAGACAGUGGUUUUGGACAGGUGCAUGUCUUUGCUGUAACCUCCAGACAAGCUUAAGUUUGGGAAUGUGAUACUAAUACAUAAGACAUUUAGGCAAUUUCUGCAGGCCACACCUUAUU
rnacentral:snRNA from 1 species